rnacentral:tRNA from 1 species
GGAAUUGUGGCUCAGCGGUAGAGUGCUCGUCUAGCAUGUGCGAGACCCUGGGUUUGAUCCUCAGCACCA